rnacentral:rRNA from 1 species
AACGUGUCUGGUUACGUCCGCCAGGGGUAGUCAGGUUCUCUCGCCAGCCGUCUGUGCCAACGGGUCAGGGACGGUCAGCUUGAGGGGGCCUUUUGUCUCGUCGGAUUUCCGCUGCCAGCAAGGAGCUGGGGUCUUGCCGGGUGGUGCCUCCCGACAUUGUCACGUGCGGCUUCGCGUGUGGAUGGAAGGGGGGCCCGAAGACUGGCAGGGCUUCAGCUAGCACCGCGAGACGGGCGCCUUUCACGUGUGCCGCCUCGGGCCACGCUGCCGUGCCUGCCCAGGCUUCUAGGGCUUGGCGUGGUCGGGGCUCGGCGCGCGGCUCGACUUAAGGCGCCCGGCUGAAACGCCUAGGUGGGCAAAUGGAGACCCGCCAAAGUGGCAUGAGAAUCUAACUAAAAAUU